UUAAAUCUCACAUUGAAAAAAACAUAACUUUUUUCAUGGGAACAUAGAGUAUAUAUACGAAAAGACUUUAAAUCCCACAUUGAAAAGAUACUAUGUUAUCCCUUUUAGCAGAAGUAUUUAAACCAAAAAGUUUUUUAUCCCACAUUGAAAAAAGAUAACUUUUUUUCUUGGGAACAUAGAGUAUAUAUACUAAUGGGUUUU
rnacentral:lncRNA from 1 species